CGCCCUUGAGUUUGAUCAUGGCUCAGGAUAAACGCUNGGCGGCGUGCAUCAGGCAUGCAAGUCGAACGUCCAGUAAUGGGACGUGGCGGACGGGUGAGUAACACGUAAGUAACCUGCCCAGAAGCGGGGAAUAACGCGUCGAAAGACGUGCUAAUACCGCAUGUGAUAGCCGGCUCUCGAGCUGGUUAUGAAAGGCCUUGGUCGCUUCUGGAGGGGCUUGCGGCCGAUUAGCUAGUUGGUGGGGUAAUGGCCUACCAAGGCAACGAUCGGUAGCUGGUCUGAGAGGAUGGUCAGCCACACGGGGACUGAGACACGGCCCCGACUCCUACGGGAGGCAGCAGCUAGGAAUCUUGGGAAUGGGCGAAAGCCUGACCCAGCAACGCCGCGUGGGCGAUUUUUUUCUUAGGGUCGUAAAGCCCUUUUGUGGGGGAAGAUGAUGACGGUACCCCACGAAUAAGCCACGGCUAACUACGUGCCAGCAGCCGCGGUAA
rnacentral:rRNA from 1 species